AAAUAAUGAAUAUUGUGUUUUUAAUUAAACAUAUUGCCCUAAUUAUCAUUCUAGAAUUAAAAAAUGAUAACAUAUGGUACGCGGCACAUUUUAUUUAUGUAGUUUUUUCAUAAAUAUGUUUUUUAUUUGAAUAGUAUGUAAAAUUACCUAUUGUCGUUUUGACACCUACAUCGGGUCUGUAUAACUCAUAAUGUAUUAGUCAACUAAUAUAAAACUAAAACAAUAUACGAAUGCGAAGUUUUGCUUACAAAUAUAAUUGUAUUAUGUCUAUAGAUACCUAUACUACUAUCGACUAUCGUCAUGAAUGCUACAAAAAGUUUUGUUACAUAAAAUAUUUGUAUGACAGAAUAAUUUAAUUUCGCUAUAAACACGAUACGUGUUAACCAAAUAAAUAACAAAAUCCAUUCAAUUAUAUUUAUGUACUAUUUGAUAAACAAGCACGGAAAGUAUUUGAAAAGGAUUUUAAGGAAGGGUUUAUCUGAGAACGCCAUAAUGCACCUCUGGUCGCAAAUAUUAAUAAAAUUCUAAGAAAAUCUGCUAAAAUUAAAUAUGCUUGGUUUCUUGUUUUCAAAAAUUGAUUUUUUAUCUGUUUAUCUACUAAAAAAAUCCAAACACAUCAAAUUUUAUUAUUAUCAAGUCAUCGACGAUGCAGAAUUACUGAAACGUGUUAUAGCAGUUGACGAAACAUGGAUUUAUAGAUACGACGUCGAAACUAAGUCCCAGUGGAGGCAUUCUUAAUCGCCAAGACCGAAAAUGGCUGGACAAGUGCGAUCUAACGUGAAGGUUAUGCUUACUGUGUUCUUCUAUUUUAAUGGCAUAGUGCAUCAUGAAUUCUUGUCACUAGGUCAAACAAUCAAUAAAGAGUACUACCUACAAGUUCAACGCUAUUUGCAUGAAGCUAUCCAAAAAAUGCCCGGAUUUUGACAAAAAAAAUUAUAGCAUUUGUACCUGCUCACAUUUAAUUGCUUGUUCAUCAUGAAACAAAUGUUGCUUUGGCCAAAAACUGUAACGAUGCCCAAGCCUUCAAAUUUGCCAAACAUGACUCUAUGUGACUAUUUUCUUUUUCUAAAAGUAAUGAGAUCCUUAAAAGUCUGUUGUUUUACAAGCAUAGAUAAUAUUAAAAGUGCAUCGCUGAAUGAGCCGAAGGCUAUCCCAAAGAUCGAGUUUGAGAAGAGUUUCCAUGAUUGGAAGAAGCGUUGGCACACGUGCAUAAUAUUUAAUGGAGACUUUUUUGAAGAUGACACAGUAAUUUUAUAGAGAGCAGUGUCUUCGGAAUCAUUGACUACUACUCAAUGGACCGCGGCUACACUAGGGACUAAGUCUACUAAUGAUAUCUUAUUUUACAAAAAAAAAAUGAAAAAGAAGAUUUUUUUAAUUAACAUAUUUUAUUAUCUCUGUUUAUUAAUUAAACAUGUACAGUACUGCUUGUGUUUAUUUAUUAAUCAGUGUUAUUAGUUUGUACUUAGUA